UACGUAGGGGGCUAGCGUUGUCCGGAUUUAUUGGGCGUAAAGAGCGUGUAGGCGGCCAGGUAGGUCUGCUGUGAAAACUCGAGGCUCAACCUCGAGACGUCGGCGGAAACCAUCUGGCUAGAGUCCGGAAGAGGAGAGUGGGAAUUCCUGGUGGUAGCGGUGAAAUGCGCAGAUAUCAGGAAGAACACCCGUGGCGAAGGCGGCUCUCUGGGACGGUACUGACGCUGAGACGCGAAAGCGUGGGGGAGCGAACAGG
rnacentral:rRNA from 1 species